ACGCUGGCGGCAUGCUUUACACAUGCAAGUCGGACGGCAGCACAGAGAAGCUUACUUCUUGGGUGGCGAGUGGCGAACGGGUGAGUAAUAUAUCGGAACGUACCGAGUAAUGGGGGAUAACUAAUCGAAAGAUUAGCUAAUACCGCAUAUUCUCUGAGGAGGAAAGCAGGGGACCUUCGGGCCUUGCGUUAUUCGAGCGGCCGAUAUCUGAUUAGCUAGUUGGUGGGGUAAAGGCCUACCAAGGCGACGAUCAGUAGCGGGUCUGAGAGGAUGAUCCGCCACACUGGGACUGAGACACGGCCCAGACUCCUACGGGAGGCAGCAGUGGGGAAUUUUGGACAAUGGGCGCAAGCCUGAUCCAGCCAUGCCGCGUGUCUGAAGAAGGCCUUCGGGUUGUAAAGGACUUUUGUCAGGGAAGAAAAGGCUGUUGCUAAUACCGACAGCUUAUGACGGUACCUGAAGAAUAAGCACCGGCUAACUACGUGCCAGCAGCCGCGGUAAUACGUAGGGUGCGAGCGUUAAUCGGAAUUACUGGGCGUAAAGCGAGCGCAGACGGUUGCUUAAGCAGGAUGUGAAAUCCCCGGGCUCAACCUGGGAACUGCGUUCUGAACUGGGUGACUAGAGUGUGACAGAGGGAGGUAGAAUUCCACGUGUAGCAGUGAAAUGCGUAGAGAUGUGGAGGAAUACCGAUGGCGAAGGCAGCCUCCUGGGAUAACACUGACGUUCAUGCUCGAAAGCGUGGGUAGCAAACAGGAUUAGAUACCCUGGUAGUCCACGCCCUAAACGAUGUCAAUUAGCUGUUGGGCAACUUGAUUGCUUAGUAGCGUAGCUAACGCGUGAAAUUGACCGCCUGGGGAGUACGGUCGCAAGAUUAAAACUCAAAGGAAUUGACGGGGACCCGCACAAGCGG
rnacentral:rRNA from 1 species